rnacentral:lncRNA from 1 species
AUGUAGAUAUAUUGGAUGUACACGCUCAAAAGUUUUUUUACUGAUAGGGAUGCAUGAUAUAUAGUCUUGUACAGAGGAGGGCUAAUCAGAAACAGCAAAGGAAAUGGGUUGCUUUAGCCCUUUAUAAAAUCUGCCGGAGAAAACACUGUUCCCCUCAACACACGGUGUAUAUUGAGUGUAUGUUGAACCUCUUGUGCGGAGCAAACAAAAUUGGAAAGCUAUUUACAUAAGCGUCUUUACAAUUGCUCAGCAAUGUCUUCCAUUUGCCUUUGGUUAAAAGUAACAUGGGAGGAACACAGUUCCAGAGAUUCUGAUUCAACAGGAGGACAAGUGUAGGCCCAUCCACAGGCACUAUGGAGUGUUAAGAAGUCAGUCCUCAUUUGGAAGAUGAGGAAGACCGAGCGCUGGAGCGUUGAAGCGACUCGGCCAAGGGAACACAGGUAGCUCACUAACCGGGACUAGGACCUUCCCAGACUCUUUUCCCUAUCCGGUGUUCCUUUGGGUAUGUCCUGCUCCCAAAGUGAAAAUCUGGUGCCUGCCCGGUUUGAUAUGAGCAGACGGGAGAAAAGCAACGGAUCCAAAGUUUCAGCUCCAAUCACUCUCCACUUGCAAAAUAUCCUUUUGAGUUUUCUGGUGAGACUAAUGGCCACGUUGCUUUAUAGAGCUAAAGACAAAACGUUAUUGUCGGGUUUGUUAGUGUCACUGGGUUGCUAGGAGAACGUCUGCAAUGGAAUUUAGCACGCAACACUAGCUUUAUUUCCGCAGGACAACCCCGCCAUGUGCAAAGGACGCUGCCUGUGUGCGAGGGGAGUGAAGCGAGGCGUGCCAAGGCCAAGACCAAAACACCACGUGAAAGAGCCGAUUUCCUCCCAGACUUGGCGGGAGAAGACUCCAAGACCAGCACAGCAGUCCCCAAAUCAAAAUAGGACUCUCCUAAUUUUUAAAAGUAGCAACCUGGCCUCAGAUUUGAUUUGCUGGCCUUGGGAACAUCCGCAAGCAAGUGUGGGAGCGGGACGGUAGCUCAAGCACCUUGUUGAUCAGAUGGGUAAGUGCAGACGAGGGUAGCAGAGGUGGGUUACAGAUGAACGGAACAGAUGCUCGCGUGUGAGGUAGGUGACAAUGUGCUAACUGUGUGUUGGAAUCAAGAGCACAUACCGUCUCUUCUAAGCACCAGAAUUCCAAGCGCCACACACUUUCCUUACUUAUUUACAUCUCAGAAAAUAUGCCUCCAAGUGUAAUGUGUGCAUAUAUAUACACAUAUUUUCAGAGUGAGAGAAAAACCGAAAGAAUAAAGGGAGAUUUGACUCACCA